AAGUCGUAACAAGGUUUCCGUAGACCAAGUCUAUGGGACGGCGCCGGUACACCACCGGUGCUGAUCCUUCCGCAUAACACUUGCCGAAGCCUUAGCGGCCCGAAAGGGUGCUCUCCCCAGACUCUAAAUAAAUGAGGGGAGCUUAAACGCUAGUCUGCAUCUCGAUGUGGGCAACACUAUCAAAUUGCGGGAACGUCCUGAAGACCUCAACACCAAGCGACUGCUGGAAACGGCGUCGUGGCCGAGUUAAUAGCCCUGGGUAUGGUAACAGCUUGAGGUAUGAAGUCCCUCGGGACUGAAAUGGGUAAUCCGCAGCCAAGUCCUAACGUACGUCCCGUUCUCGGAGAUGUACCACGGAUGCUGUUCACAGGCCAAAUGGUAGUGGGUGGCUGCAGCUGAGAAGUUGCGACUGCUUAAGAUAUGGUCGGGCCCCCUUGGAAACAUUGGGGAUAAGAUUAUGCUCUCCAUCAGGAGAAUAGAACCGUUCCGUAGGUGAACCUGCGGAAGGAUCAUUACUGGGGUCUGGGCCUCGCGCCCGCUACCCGUCCUUUGUCAUGAGACGCGAAAGCAACUCACAUCGCUUCGGCCCCGGGCGACACCCCGCUAUUUAAGUUAGCGGGCGGAACCCGCGGCCGGCCUUACAAACCCACGCGCAACCUUGAAGUCUGAACAAAUGUAAACGAAAAGCAAA
rnacentral:ncRNA from 1 species